AGAAGAUCUCAUCCAGAAAGCCGUGCAUUCCGAAGAAAAGAAAGCGGGGAUGGUGUUUCCCUUCCUGUUUGCUGAUCCACUGGGGCUGUCCCAGAAAGAGAACUACAACGCUACUCUUUCCCAUGCCUUGCUUGUCCACAGACAGGGUCUUGCUGUGUUGUCCAGGUUUGAUGGAGUGCGGUGGUGCAAUCCUGGCUCACUAUAACCUCUACCUCCUGGGCUCAAGGGAUAGUCUCAUCUUAGUUUCCUGAGUAGCUGGGACUACAGGACACAACAUUUGUCUCCUCCAGAAGAUGCAGCAACAAGGUAUCAUCUUGGAAGCAGAGACAGGGCCUUCACCAGACACCAAACCCAAAGAUCCCUUCAUCUUGGACUUUCAGCCUCCAGAACUGUGAGAAAUAAAUUCCUAUUCUUUUAAAAUUACCCAGUCUCAGGUGUUUUGUUGUAUCAACACAAAUGAACAGGCCCAGACUGCGCAAUGUCUGAAGAUCUUCAUUUCACCCUGCUAGUAACAACCAUCCUGUUACGUUUGCACUUCUUUGCAAUUCACCCCAC
rnacentral:lncRNA from 1 species